rfam:Streptomyces ambofaciens ATCC 23877, complete genome.
CUUGACCGAUCCCAGCCACAACGGACGGUCCUCAUGCCGGCCCUGUCCGUACGUCGCGAGCAGCGCCUGCGCCUC